rnacentral:tRNA from 1 species
GGUCCUGUAGCUCAGCCAGGUAGAGCGGCACCCUGAAAAGGUGCGCGUCGGAGGUUCGAAUCCUCCUUGGUCCACCA